UUUCACUUUUAAUAUAGAUUUGAGUAAUGUUUAUAAUUUUUAUAAUUAGCUUAAUUUACAUUUUAGAUAAUUCAGGAUUUGUUUUUAAUUUUUAGGAUUUUUAAUAAAAAUAAAAGAGAGAUUAAAAGAAAAGGAAAUUAACGGAAGAAUUGGAGAAGGGGCUCAUUUAUGAUAUUUGGGCCAGUUUUUUACACACGAAUUAGGCCCAACCACUCCCCCUAUACAAAUUAAUUCUCUAAACCCAAACACCCUCUAAUUCGCCCCAGCCCAAACCGGGCUUGACUCGCCCGUUUUCCCUUAAUAUAAAAGCCCCUUUAUAAUUUUUCCCCCAAACUCAUCAGAGGCGGCUAUUGUUCAUCUUCCUCUCUACUGAGCUCAAUCUCAACUCGCCUGAGUUCGAGCUUACUCACUCAUAACGGUUCUCUCUCCACGUCACCUCUAUUUCCAACGGAUUUGUUAGAGAUGAGUACGAUUAUUCUCUCAAAACCGCAGAUUCUUGUACAAAAGGAUGAUUUGCUGGACGAAUAGGGGCCGUGGAUAGAUGUAAAUCGAUCCACGCCUUCCAUUUAUCCCAAAAAUUGUUCAAAAAUCUGAGGAUUUUCAGAGUUUCUGGUAGAUGUUUUUUUGAGAUUUUUGGAAGGCUAUAUAAGGUGAGUCUCUUUGUAAAAAAAAAAAGGAGAGAAAAUCAAAGGAGAAAAAAAAAUCUGAAAAAGAUCUUAAAAGUUUAGUCGAAAUUUACAGUUUUUUUUAGUAGUCAUUUUUCUUCAAGUCCUUCUUCUUCAGUUUUUUUUUUUUUUUAGAAAAAGCAUAAAGAAAAUGUGUUCUGAGUUCAUCCUUGGUUUGAGUCUAUUGCAUUUUUGAAGAGAAAAACCAAAAAAAGUGACCGAAAAUAGAUAAUUUUUUAGCUUUGGUUUCUUUCUCUUGAUUCUUUGGUUCUAAAAAGGAAGUUUUUUUUUUGGAUUAAAUUUCAAGUUAAAGUCUGUAGCUGGGAUUCUGAACUGUGGCGCUGUGGAUUUCUAUCCGAAUUUUUGGUUGCGAUUUGGAUUUGGCUGGCUGAUUUGCUGAGUUAUCUUCGCUGUCACUGAAUUUCUUCCCCUGUUCCAGCAUUUCGUCUUGUUAUUUUUCAAUUGUCUUACUCUCAUAGGUAUGUUCAUGCGUCUUUGUUUCUUUUGGCUUGAAACCAUGAAUGAAAGUCUUAUUUGUUUAAGUUUAGAUUUUAUCCGAGCUCUUAGACUCAGCAUAUAAUUGUCAUAUUAAUUCGAAUUUCCCUCUCUACUAAGCUCUGAAUGUAUUAGUGUGUUAAGCAAGAGACUCGAGUUGUUAAAUGUUAAUGGAUAAUUGAUUGGUUAAUGUCGACAAUCAUUUAGUUGCCAAGAUUACAUGGUUCAUGCUUGAAAUGAAAUUAAUGUUGGUCAAAAUGAUCUAACUGCUACUUGCCUAAAGAAAUUUCAUUGGUUAUUACAUUUUCUUUUAUGAAAGUUGUGUGAAAGGAAGCGUAUGUGUAGAUCUGUAUUAAGCUGAAAUAGUCACAAUCUUUUCUGUGGCAACAUGUGCAAUUCGUGUGAGGUAGAUAGAAAUACAUUCAUAUGAUCUGUUUGGUUAAUUGAUGCUGGUAAGUGACAGAAUCUUGCUUAGUGAACUUGGAAGUGAUCAAAAAUGCUAAAUUCUUAGUAAAUCUCAUUGUUAAACAGAGUGUAAAAUAUUUACUUGCUUUUUUCACUAAGAGUUUUUAUUAUGUCUUAACAAGUUAUUCGGUCCCUGUGAAUGUUGAUGCUCAAUUUUUUCCUAUGUAUUUUUAUAUACAAAAUACUUUCAAAA
rnacentral:lncRNA from 1 species